UACAGAGGGGGCAAGCGUUGUUCGGAAUUACUGGGCGUAAAGGGCGCGUAGGCGGCCCGCUAAGUCGAACGUGAAAUCCCCGAGCUCAACUCGGGAACUGCGUCCGAUACUGGUGGGCUUGAAUCCGGGAGAGGGAUGCGGAAUUCCAGGUGUAGCGGUGAAAUUCGUAGAUAUCGGGAGGAACACCAGUGGCGAAGGCGGCGACCUGGGCCAAUAUUGACGCUGAGGUGCGAAAGCGUGGGGAGCAAACAGG
rnacentral:rRNA from 1 species